GUUUCUUGUAGAAUGGAUAAUGCUAGAAACAAUGUUUCUAUCACAUAACUUGUAUUUCAGUUCUCUCUGAAUUAAUGGAUCAUUUUUUCUUCUGUUAAUCAAUAGGCUUAUAAUAAAAAAAUGUUGCAUGAAGAAGAAAGAACAUGAUGUAGAGCAGCAAGAGGACAACACGGCAUCAGUCUUUCCCCUGAUAGGUGGCACCAUCAUCAUCAUUUCUGAGAUAGCUAAUGAGCCAAGGAAGACUACCAUCAUUACCUACGAAGGUCAAAACACUGCUCCAAAUUCCAAAUAAAGAUGGAGGAACAACACCUUAAUGCCGAGGAACAAAAUGUGACAACAAAUGACCAGAGAAGAAUGAGAGCAAAGAUGAAUUACAGAUUAUAACUCAGAGGAAGUAGAAAAGGAACAGAGGUUUUCUACCGAGGACGAUAAAGUAGAACAACACACUACAAAAAUGAAAAAGAAAAUGAUAAUUCAAAAAGGAAUAUCAAUAAACGUGGACAGUUA